rnacentral:lncRNA from 1 species
AUUGCUUUUGUUUGUAUAGAAACUUUUUAAAGCAAUAUAGUAAAAAGUAUAGCUUUUAAAUCUCAUAAUGUUCUCUAUAUCUUGUUUUCAACUAAAUUAUUCUUUUAUCCAAAUGUCUAACAGAUAAACUGUUUUGUGCUCUCCUAAUCUUUUUAGGUUAUCACCCUUUAUUUCUAAAUCAUGUAUCAGUUUUGACUCUACCUUGGUUUAUGGCAUAAGGUGUGGGUCUACGCUUAAUUUCUACCAUACUGUUUUCCAGUUUCUCCGUCAAUUUUUUAUCAUAUAGGGAGUUUUUUCUCCCAAAACUUGAAUCUUUGAGUUUGUCAAGUAUUAUUACCAUGGUCAUUUAUCAUUCCGUAUUGAGUGCCUAAUGUAUUCCAUUGUUGUGCCUUUUUGAAUGUGUCUUCUUAUUCUCUGACAUUGCAGUCUCUUUUAAUUAUCUUUUUACUGAUUUGUUUUCUUUUUCUCUUCUUUUUCCAGUGUAUUUCUUGACUUUGAACUUCAUGUUACAUUUGGGUUCUGUUCCUUGGAUAUAGCUGGGAGUAGAGAAGAUUCAACAUAAGGUGCCCUGUAGGGUUACCAUGGUCACUGCUCAGCUGAGGAGCCAGAAGGGAAAAGGAGACCGCCACCGCUGCCGCUGCUGCUGCCGCCGUUGCGGCAGUGAUGGGGGAGGAUGGAAUGGCCAUUAACAGGAAAAAAUAAUGUCAUAGCAGAUGGCUCUCUGUGUGAAGAUUGGAAGAAAAAAGACCCAGAAAGGCAAUCUAGGGAACUUCCGGGUAAUCAUGGCUGCAAUCUAGACGCCACACGCUUCCUCUCCUCGGCACCGAACAAAAUAGACUACAUCAAAGGAGCAUAAAAAUCACCUUUGGAGGAACAGAAGGACUCCCCAGUACUCCCCAGUACCCCACAGAGGCGAAGGUACGUGCGGUUUGAACAUUUCCACACUAUAAUAAGAAGGAGGAAAAGCUUGCACAGAAACGUGAACUGAGCCACCCUUCCCCCCCCCCCAACCUACCCCACCAAACCAAAGUGAGCUACCGGAGAGCUCACUGGGACAGCGAGUGAGUGG